AACGAACGCUGGCGGCAGGCUUAACACAUGCAAGUCGAACGGGUGUAGCAAUACAUCAGUGGCAGACGGGUGAGUAACACGUGGGAACCUUCCUCGGGGUACGGAACAACUCAGGGAAACUUGAGCUAAUACCGUAUACGUCCGUGAGGAGAAAGAUUUAUCGCCCUGAGACGGGCCCGCGUCGGAUUAGCUAGUUGGUGGGGUAACGGCCUACCAAGGCGACGAUCCGUAGCUGAUCUUAGAGGAUGAUCAGCCACACUGGGACUGAGACACGGCCCAGACUCCUACGGGAGGCAGCAGUGGGGAAUCUUGGACAAUGGGCGCAAGCCUGAUCCAGCCAUGCCGCGUGAGUGAAGAAGGUCUUCGGAUUGUAAAGCUCUUUUGCCAGGGACGAUAAUGACGGUACCUGGAGAAUAAGCCCCGGCAAACUUCGUGCCAGCCGCCGCCGUAACAC
rnacentral:rRNA from 1 species